GUAAUGAGCAUCUUUCCUGUUGAUCCUUAGACAUGGUAAUCCCAAGGUAUGGUACUUUUUCCUUGACUGGUCUAAGAAUCUGGUCAUCAUCUUUCAAAAAGAGGGUGGUGUCAUCUGCAAGCUGACUGACGAUAAUAUCUCUGUCAGCAAUAGAGAUCCCUUUUUAUUACAACAUCAUGGUUAUUAGAACGUCUAGAACGUCAUGGUUAUUAGAACAUCUAGAACAUCAUGGUUAUUAGAACGUCUUGGUGCCCAUAAAAAUUCAUAAUGCGAGAAAGUGCAUAUAUAAAAGGUGAAAUCAAAACACAACGUUUUGGCAUUUACGUCAUCAUUUACGUCGUCCUCAGUGUAUAUAGUCAGCACAUGCACCUGGCUUCUAUAUUUGAAGAAUAAUUUCAUAUGUCACAUGAUCAAGAAAGAAAAUAUCUGAAAAUCGAUACCUAGUAGAAUAGACUGGAUGAUCUCCAUUUUAUAUAGAAUUUACAAAAACAGACAGAGACAUUUAAACAAUUAUAGGUCAGUCUAUGUCACGGAAAGAGCAGGUGUUCUUAAUGUUUUGUAAACUCAGUCUAUGUCACGGAAAGAGCAGGUGUUCUUAAUGUUUUGUAAACUCAGUCUAUGUCACGGAAAGAGCAGGUGUUCUUAAUGUUUUGUAAACUCAGUCUGUGUCACGGAAAGAGCAGGUGUUCUUAAUGUUUUGUAAACUCAGUCUGUGUCACGGAAAGAGCAGGUGUUCUUAAUGUUUUGUAAACUCAGUCUAUGUCACGGAAAGAGCAGGUGUUCUUAAUGUUUUGUCCACUCAGUGUAUACUGUGACCACCCUCCCACUCUGUCUGCCGAAUUCUCUCUCUUUGUUCUUGUUUUCCUUAAAAGGAU
ensembl:lncRNA